rnacentral:sRNA from 1 species
AUAAUUUAUGGUAUUAUUUGAAUUCAUCAGUUGCAAAUUAUGUAAUAUAUAAAUAAUGGAAUAAGAGUUUAUUAAUGAAGUACUAUAUUUAUACAUACAUAAAACAUUGUGUAGUAUUUUAGGAAUUUUUUUCCCUUUUUUUUUUUUUUUUUUUGGGAAGUGGGCAAAUAAGAUUUUUUUCCCAAAUUUUUAUCUUCCUGAUUUCUUCAAUUUCAUAUGGGAUAUUUGAUAACAUAGUAAAUUAGAUAUGAUUAUCGAAUAUGAAUUUAAAAAUCAAAUAUAUGUUGAAUUAUCUGAUCGGAUCGAACAUGGACAGAUUCGAUACAUAUCCGAUCCAUUUAUAAUCAUAAUCAUUAGUGCUAAAGCACCAGUUUAUGUAACAUUAAGUUAUAAGUUCAAUGAAAUGUAAAAUUUAAUGAUUUAUUUAAUCAUACCUAUCUGUAAACAUAAAAAAAAAUAAGUACAUAAAAUAAAAUGGAUUGUGUCGAUUUAAAUCAUUAGCCCAAUUAAAUCUUAAGUCUACUAAAUUUCAUAAAAAUCCAAAAGUCCAUACCACAUUUUAAAUAAAUAAACAAACAAAUAAAUACAACUAUAAUUACUCAAUUAUCUCUUUUAAUUAAAUAUAAUUGAGUAAUUACCAAAAUUAGCCCGAAUCCUUCCCUAUAAAUAAGAUCAAUGAUCCAUAAGACAGAAGGAUAGAAAGCAAGUAAGAAAAAAAAGUAGAGAACGUCACGAAGUGUUGAACAAAUUUUAAGACCAGAAGAAUGGAAGAAUUCCUCUCAAAUCCAAAUCCGGUGAACCUCCAGAAGAUUAAAAUCUUUUUCGAAUCAAAUAGGUUCACGUCAAGUCUAAGAAGAUCAAAGUCUUCUUCAAAUCAAAUCAAAUUCAAGUCCAAAUCUAAGCCCCGAAGUUCAAGUUCCGAUCAAGUCAAGUCUCGACAAACCAAAUUUUCAACAAAUUCUUGAAGACCAGGAUUCAAGCCACGUGGCCCCUGGUCUUCAAAUAUUCAGAUCAUUAAUCAGAAGAUUUUGCAAUUUUUCAAUUACAAGAAGGUCAACAUCACUUGUAUUUAUCAAAAUACAAUUUGUAACGAUUUCUAUAUUUUAAUACACGAGAUUUCGUUGUACAAAUUUCUUGGCACGCCCGGUGGGACCUUCUUGUCUUCUAAUCUUUUGAUCUCAAAAUUUCAAAUUUCAACUACUAUAUCAGCAAUAGUAGGCGAAAAAGCGAAACAAACUAUGACUCAUCUUGAAGAGACACUUGCCGAACUCUUCCAUGCGACCAGGGCCCAAACAAAAACUGGGAAAACUUAACUAGUCACACCACUAAAGAAGUUCUCCAACAAAGGCAAAGUGAGAAUUGCCUUCAAAAAGUCAAACUCUCAUAGUCUCAUUCGAUAGAAAAAACCAUGAGUUCAGCGAAAAGUUCUCAUUUGGGCUCCAUUUCCAGUGGUAGAUCCUUGUCUGGAUCCCCUCAUGCCACUUCUCAGCAAAAGUGGGAAGAUAAUGUCUCAUCUGAAGAAUCACUUGAGCCAGUAAUGGUCACAGAAGCGGCAUCGAACUCAAAUGACCGAAUUCAACAAAUGACUUUAGCCAUUGAAAAAUUAACAAAGUCAUUGGAAGAAAAAGAUGCACAGAUUGCUGCACUCACACAUAGGCUAGAGUUGCAAAAUUCAUUGACUAAAGAAGAUCAAGAAAAUUCAGGAUCUUCCAAGGCCAAAGAAUUAGAAGUCCAAGAGCGCCAACAAAAGCAAGAUAUGCACGAUCGGACAAUUAUUCAAAACGUGUUGCGUGACACCACUCAACUCACCAUUGGCUCUCUGUCCAUCCAACAACUUCAACAUAUGAUUGCAGACACCAUUCGUGCCCAGUAUGGUGGUUCAUUACAAUCUUCACUGGUGUAUACCAAGCCCUACAGUCGUCGAAUCGACGAAAUAAAGAUGCCACUCACUUAUCAACCUCCAAAAUUUCAGUGUUUUGAUGGAAAAGCAAUCCAAAACAACAUGUUGCCCAUUUUAUUGAGACUUGUAACAAUAUAGGUACUUACAAUGACACUUGGUGAAGCAGUUCGUAUGCUCCUUCAAAGGUUCCGCAUUUGAAUGGUACACGGACUUACCGGCUGGGUCAAUUGACAAUUUGGAUCAGCUUGAGCGAAAGUUCCUAACACGCUUCUACAACACCCAACGAACUGUCAGCCUUCCAAAACUUGCUCGAACAAAACAAAGCAAGGAAAAACCUGUUGUGGAGUACAUUGAACGCUGGAGGAACCUCGUGCUUAAUUGCAAAGAGCGAAUAAGCGAAGCAUCUUCCAUCGACAUGUGUGUACAAGGCAUGCAUUGGGGAUUACUCUAUAAUCUCCAAGUAAACAUGCCUCACUCAUUCGAAGAAUUAGCGACACGUGCUCAUGACUUGGAGCUCCAAAUUGCAAGGCAUGGAAGUUACUUACCAAGUGAUCAACGUGACAAGAAAGAUCCUAAGAAGGAGAUAAGGAAAGAUGCUAAGGCAAGUAAGUCCAAAGAAGUUAUGGCGAUUUCUACUACUCCUGCAAAGAUAGCCUUCCAAGGAUCAAGCUCAAACCCAAAACCAAAGCCAGAAUUCAGACCUGACAGAGGACAAGUCCAAAGUAGAGGUCAUGUGACUCUAAAAGAACUUGAAGGAAAGGAGUACCCAUUCUCAGAUUCUGAAGUUUCUGGAAUUCUGGAUCAGCUCCUUGAACAGAAGAUAAUCGAACUUCCAGUACCAAAAAGACCUAAGGAAGCUGGUAAGAUCGAUCAUCCUAAAUACUAUAAAUUUCAGAGAAUCAUUAGCCACCCAGUGGAAAAAUGCUUCUUCUUGAAAGAUCUCAUUGUUUGUCUGGACAAAGAAAAUAUGUUCAAACUUGAAAUCAGAGAGAAUCCAACAGUCGUCUGCUCGAUGGUUUCGUUUGGAUCAUUUGAUCUAAUUUCCAUUGCAGAGAAGAAACAAACGUUUUUUUGGUGUAUGCUAUGCCUAUAAGUCCUCAGUUAAGAGG